GUUUCAAGAAGCUCCGUACCGUACACUUGGAUGUGCUAAAGUAUAAACCGACAAUUGACAAGUUAACAAUUGACAAAUGAGAAAGUUUGUGCUUAUGCAUUUUGGGAACGUGGCUUCUUGUUGGCUCUACCAGUAUGGGCACGGCAGAUUCAGGCUUGGCAGGAUGUGUUGAUUCUAGAAGUUCAACUUCAAGAUACACCUUUAUACUUGCUAAUGGAGCAAUAUCUUAGAAGAGUACAAAACAAUCACUUGUAG